rnacentral:lncRNA from 1 species
GGUGGUUUCCACCUCUGUGUGCUCAGACCACACCAUCACUUCAUGGAAUUCCACAUCGUGGGCUCUCCUGAAAAGAAGAACCAUAACUCAUCGUUCUGCAUCCUUAAGAAUGACUGCUGUAUGGCUGCAAGCAAGGACCUCACCAUGUGAUCUUGCCCCAAAAAUCAGCACCUGCUUGAGAUGUAUGGCCGGUUUUGUUAUUAGACAGUCAGAAAAGGCAAAAGUUGAAUUCUGCUUUGAGUCAUUUCAUGAAGUCAGUUGUCGUUGUUGGCAGACAUCAAUGUGCUGUGAAGAAAACUCUGUCACUUGCCUUGACUUCAGAAAAGCAUGAGAAAACACUUGCAGCCUUCCCUGAGAUAAGAAGCCACAAACAAAUCAGAAACAACAAGCGAAAACUCAAUUCAAGGUUUACUCCAGGAUGGACGUCUUGCUACGAUAAAUUAAGGUGUUUUUCAUUAUUAAAAAUAAACAAAGCAAUGAAAGUGAACCAUGUCACCAUUCAUAUGCUAAAAAAACAUCUUUAAUCUGCUUGGGAAAAUCUUUUUUUCCCCCUAACAGGAAAAAAUAUUAGUUGUCCAGAUAACAAGCAAAACAAAAUCAACUAAAGGGCAUCAAGAGACUUCCUGAAAUUGAAAAAACAAUGUUUUGUGUAACAAGUUAAAAAAAAAAAACAAAAACAAAACAACCACAUACAGCAAGCAGAAUGAUUCCUCCAGCUUCUUCAGGUCGUCAGUGGUUUCAGGAACAUGAGGAAGAGCUACACAAGCAGUCAAAAGUUUUAUUUAACCUUGCAGCAUUUUACAGCUGUCCUAAGCCUCUUCCCUUCUCCCUUUCCCCUCCCCAACCCCCCCGGAAACCAUUUGUCUUUCUAGUGCCUUAUUUUUAACAGCUCAGCUCGGCCCCAAAGGGACAUGUGUAAAAACAACCAAAGAACUUAAUCUGGCAGCUUUGGGGUUCCCAGGACUGAAAUAGCAAGCCUGAUGCAAAUCAGGACAGAAGCUGCUUUGGAAGAGGGAGCAAUACCUCCUCCUCCUCCUCUUGAGGGAGAGAGGGAUGGCAGGAGGCAGAGCCACGAGGAUGGGCAGGGCAGACACUCACCCACCGUGAGACUGGUAGACAUGGGCAAUGCUGGGCUGGGUUAGCAGGGAUGCUCGGGACCCCAUUCAUCCUGCAGUAAAUCAGCCCCUGGAGAUGCACGGGGAAGUUUGUACAAUGUCUGCCCAAACUCUGCCUGGAUCCCUGCCAGGGCUGCGAAACUUUCAUUCUCAUGAGUUCACAAAUUUCACCUACAAGAGCCUGAUUUAAACAAUACAAGAGGCAGUGUGGCAUUCCUUCCCACAUCCCUCUCGGCCUCUGUGCUGUGAAACCACAGGAAAUCAUUAGCUGUGCUUGCUAAGAACUUCUGGAUCAAACAAAUGAUCCACAUUUGAUGUAUUGAGAGAUUUUUUUUUUCUUUGUUUAAAUAUAUUUAUGAUUUUCACAGGUUUGUUUGUGAUGCUGGUUUAUGCAGUUUCUAAUGUUUGG